GCUCAUUGAAUAUAAUAUCAAUGGUAAUUAAAAAGCCACCAUUUCCCCCCGCAGACAAGCUAACUUUGAGAACCUGCCAGAGCUUUCACUAACAGCAACUGACUCAUUUUCUCCUGUGUUGGUCUCAGCUUAUUGCAUACUACUGCUAGAAUGAAGUUCGUCCAGUUUUUAAAGAAUCCUAAGGUGGUGAGAUAAAUGGUUUAUAUACUUCUUCUGAUGUGCCCUACAGAUGAACAAGUUAUCUCUUCCUCCUGGAUUUAAAGCAAAAUACAAAGACAAAGUCCAUAUAGUAAUUUUAAAAACCUGUAUCCAAAGCUAAUUUGAAAGCCCAGCUUUGCAGGUGAUAUUUGUGUCCUUGAGGAUAGACCAGAGGUUUUCAGGGACUGGUGCAGUUUGAGAAAUCCCCUGGUAUGCCCCCGACCCAGGAGAGGAGGUUGGCUUCCGCCACUCCUUGGAAUUCACUUAGAAUUUCCCUCUUUUCCAGCAGUUAAACUGCCAUGGAAGGAGCUGGCCACCACCUUCUCAACUAUCCCACUCUACCUGGAGCCCUCCCAGGAAAUACUGGGCAAAGUGGAGACAUUACUGUGAACUCCAGAAAAUUCCACGAGUGUAAUCUCUUCCCACGUAACCCAUCUCCCUUCCCCCAGGAUCCCAGCCCAAUGCAAGGUGUUCAGAGGCGUUUCUGAAGCUUGUCAAUAUGCCAAAAGGAAUAAAAUAUUUCAGUCCCUUUCAAAAACAAAUAUAAAUCAGCAAUUUUGGGGCAUACGCCAAUAGGAACACUGACACCUCUGGCAGCCAGGCCAAGCAGAGGGCUUCUGUAACAGUGAGAGGCAAGGAGUCAAGGCUCAGAGCUGCCUUUGCACAAGAAACAUCCCAGUGAUGCAAGUGACCUGCAGGAUUCACUGGUGCCCCACAGAGCUGCACAAGCUGGCCCAGGAUUUGGAGAAGCAGAAGAUUCGACAAGACCAAUAAGGGCUGUGGACUCAGCUGCUGUUUCACGCUCACAAGGUGGCCAGGAGACCAGCAAUUGUGUGCUUGAGCCCACAUCAACCUUCAGAGCAUAGAAAUGGCUGCUAUUUCACUUCCACUUCCAAAUCUCAUGAACUCCUCUUAUGGCCAACCCUAGCCUAGAACAGUACAAGAAAGGGAAUUCUGAAAAUUCCUUAGUAUUUCUGGUUAAAGUGAUGUACAUAGGCACCAAACUCACGUAAGGAUAGCCUCUCCCAUAGGAAUGUGGCCAAGCUUACACAAGUGUACAGCAGGGUUGGAGGUCUCCCUGGCCCCUUCAGUUCUACUGCUCAUGUCUUUCCCUGCCUUUAGGGCUAGCAGCAAAUGAUGCAAGUGUGUGCUGGUGUGGGUAAAAAUCCAGGGCUCCAGGCGGAGGGCUGUCUUGCUAUAGACACAAAUCUCUUUGAGGAUAGACUUGUAUUCCCAGCAAAAACCUGGUCCCUGCGGGAAGGGAAUGGAGCCAAGAAUGCAUAUAGACAUCUGAGCGUCUCCAAACGUGGCUGAGAGCAGGGGUUAUUGGAAUGUACUUCUUUUUUUUUUUUUU
rnacentral:lncRNA from 1 species